rnacentral:rRNA from 1 species
AUUGAACGCUGGCGGCAGGCCUAACACAUGCAAGUCGAACGAGUGGCGGACGGGUGAGUAAUGUCUGGGAACCUGCCUGAUGGAGGGGGAUAACUACUGGAAACGGUUGCUAAUACCGCAUACCAUCGGAUGUGCCCAGAUGGGAUUAGCUAGUUGGUGGGGUAAUGGCUCACCUAGGCGACGAUCCCUAGCUGGUCUGAGAGGAUGACCAGCCACACUGGAACUGAGACACGGCCCAGACUCCUACGGGAGGCAGCAGUGGGGAAUAUUGCGCAAUGGGCGCAAGCCUGAUGCAGCCAUGCCGCGUGAAUGAAGAAGGCCUUCGGGUUGUAAAGUACUUUCGGUAGGGAGGCGUUACUAACAGAAGAAGCACCGGCUAACUCCGUGCCAGCAGCCGCGGUAAUUC